rnacentral:rRNA from 1 species
AUAGACGCUGGCGGUUGUGCCUAACACAUGCAAGUCGAACGGAGUUUGUCACCAUGAAGUUUUCGGAUGGAUUGGUUAACAACUUAGUGGCGGACGGGUGAGUAACGCGUGGGUAACCUGCCUCAUACUGGGGGAUAACAGCUGGAAACGGCUGCUAAAACCGCAUAAGAUCGCAUCACCGCAUGGUGAGGCGGUUAAAUAUCGAAAGAUAGGUAUGAGAUGGGCCCGCGUCUGAUUAGCUAGUUGGUGAGAUAAGAGCCCACCAAGGCGACGAUCAGUAGCCGGCUUGAGAGAGUGACCGGCCACAUUGGGACUGAGACACGGCCCAAACUCCUACGGGAGGCAGCAGUGGGGAAUAUUGCACAAUGGGGGAAACCCUGAUGCAGCGACGCCGCGUGAGUGAAGAAGUGCUUCGGCAUGUAAAGCUCUAUCAGCAGGGAAGAAGAUGACGGUACCUGACUAAGAAGCCCCGGCUAACUACGUG